UCUCAACAUGCAUCACAUCUAGAUUGUGCCUCAAUUUCAGUUUCGACCAAUAUGGGAGCUCAAAAAACAUAGGCUUAUGCGUCCAGUUCAAAUGUGUAGAAGGUCUGGUCCGACUAACUGUUUUCCCGAACGGAGCAAAAUCCAAACGGUUCAGCUGUUCCAAGAUCUCAUCACCGGACCAUUCUCUAGGUCUGAGGCGACGCUCUGUGUUCCCGUCGAACUCUUUAUCUUUUUC
rnacentral:lncRNA from 1 species